rnacentral:rRNA from 1 species
UACGUAGGGGGCAAGCGUUGUCCGGAUUCAUUGGGCGUAAAGAGCGUGUAGGCGGCCAGGUAGGUCGGUUGUGAAAACUGGAGGCUCAACCUUCAGAGGUCGACCGAAACCAUCUGGCUAGAGUCCGGGAGAGGAGAGUGGAAUUCCUGGUGUAGCGGUGAAAUGCGCAGAUAUCAGGAGGAACACCAAUGGCGAAGGCAGCUCGCUGGAACGGUACCGACGCUGUGGCGCGAAAGCGUGGGGAGCGAACAGG